GACGAACGCUGGCGGCGUGCUUAACACAUGCAAGUCGAGCGGUAAGGCCCUUUCGGGGGUACACGAGCGGCGAACGGGUGAGUAACACGUGGGUGACCUGCCCUUAGCUCUGGGAUAAGCCUGGGAAACUGGGUCUAAUACCGGAUAUGACCUCAUGACUCAUGUUGUGGGGUGGAAAGCCUUGUGCGGCUAGGGAUGGGCCCGCGGCCUAUCAGCUUGUUGGUGGGGUAAUUGCCUACCAAGGCGACGACGGGUAGCCGGCCUGAGAGGGCGACCGGCCACACUGGGACUGAGACACGGCCCAGACUCCUACGGGAGGCAGCAGUGGGAAUCUUGCGCAAUGGGCGAAAGCCUGACGCAGCGACGCCGCGUGAGGGAUGACGGCCUCGGUU
rnacentral:rRNA from 1 species